AAAGUCGUAACAAGGUCAUCGUAGGUGAACCUGCGGUGGGAUCAUUAAGUAAUAAUUAAUGUUUGGGUAUGAGAUGAUUGUAAUUUGGUGUUAUUUUUGGAGUGUCCCUUGGGAUCUUUAAAGAUAAUGUCACUCUACAUUCACUCUGCUCUUCUUGUGUGAAUCGAGUGAGCUGCACAGGCAUUUACUUGCUUUUGCAGCACGAGAACUGGUGGUGUGAAUAGUGUCAUUUAUUUGGCUAGGCAUGCCACCUGUUUUCUCUAUAUCAAAACUAUUUCAACCAAUCUAAAAAACAAAUCAUCGAGGCGUAAAACACCUCUACAAUUCAAUAUAACUAUCCGUGGUGGAUCACUUGGCUCUU
rnacentral:misc_RNA from 1 species